UACGUAGGGUGCGAGCGUUGUCCGGAAUUAUUGGGCGUAAAGGGCUCGUAGGCGGUUUGUCGCGUCGGGAGUGAAACACUGGGCUUAACUCAGUGCUUGCUUUCGAUACGGGCAGACUAGAGGCAUGCAGGGGAGAACGGAAUUCCUGGUGUAGCGGUGAAAUGCGCAGAUAUCAGGAAGAACACCAAUGGCGAAGGCAGCUCUCUGGGACGGUACUGACACUGAGACGCGAAAGCGUGGGGAGCCGAACAGGAUUAGAAACCC
rnacentral:rRNA from 1 species